GCAGGGCGGAGGCGACCUGCAGUUUGUGGCGCUGUGAUGGUCUAGAGGCUGGAGAUUCAAGAUCUGGGUGCCAUCAUUUUCUGGUUCUGUUGAUGACCCUCUUCCAGGUUACAUACAGCUCACAUCUUGCAUCCUCAAGUGGUAGAGAGCAAACUCUUAAAUGUUUCUAUAUGUUUUUAUUCUACUGCCACAUUAAAUCGCCGAGCCAGAUAAUUUGUUGAAUAUUUAUCCCUCACCCUCUGCCCCACCACAUGUGCAGAGUUUUGCAUUACUUUUGCAUAUUGACAAUGUAUUUUAGUGGUCAGUAAAGAAAUAUUUAUGUUUGACUUUUUUGCUUAAAAAUAUUCUAAAAUUCAUGAUGACUGACUUUGGCUUUGUGAACUUGAACUAUAUCUUAUGGGUAUAGCAGGUGAGAUGUUCAGCCUUCUACUAGUUGACAUUCAAAUUGUUAAUAGCUAACACUGAUAAAGCUCUUUAUAUGCUAGCUACAGUGCUUAUAUUAUAUAUAUAUAUGUAUAUAUACUCAUUUAAUUGCCAUAACCCUAGGGAGUAUUUAAUAUUAUCUUCAUUUUAUAGGAAAGGAAGCUGAGGCAUAGAAAGUUUAAGUGACUUGCCCAAGUCUCAUAGCUUUUAAGUAUCA
rnacentral:sRNA from 1 species